GAUGAACGCUGGCGGCGUGCCUAACACAUGCAAGUCGAACGGAGUCGUUUUGGAAAUCUCUUCGGAGAUGGAAUUCUCGACUUAGUGGCGGACGGGUGAGUAACGCGUGAGCAAUCUGCCUUUAAGAGGGGGAUAACAGUCGGAAACGGCUGCUAAUACCGCAUAAAGCAUCAAAAUCGCAUGUUUUUGAUGCCAAAGGAGCAAUCCACUUUUAGAUGAGCUCGCGUCUGAUUAGCUAGUUGGCGGGGUAACGGCCCACCAAGGCGACGAUCAGUAGCCGGACUGAGAGGUUGAACGGCCACAUUGGGACUGAGACACGGCCCAGACUCCUACGGGAGGCAGCAGUGGGGAAUAUUGCGCAAUGGGGGAAACCCUGACGCAGCAACGCCGCGUGAUUGAAGAAGGCCUUCGGGUUGUAAAGAUCUUUAAUCAGGGACGUAAAAAUGACGGUACCUGAAGAAUAAGCUCCGGCUAACUACGUGCCAGCCGCCGCCGUAA
rnacentral:rRNA from 1 species